rnacentral:rRNA from 1 species
AGUAACUGCGAGUGAAGCGGGAAAAGCUCAAAUUUAAAAUCUGGUGGCCCUUUCGCCAUCCGAGUUGUAAUUUAGAGAAGCGUCUUCCGCGCUGGACCGUGCAUAAGUCUCCUGGAACGGAGCGUCAUAGAGGGUGAGAAUCCCGUCUUUGGCACGGACCCCCAGGGCUUCUGUGAUGCGCUCUCGAAGAGUCGAGUUGUUUGGGAAUGCAGCUCAAAAUGGGUGGUGAACUCCAUCUAAAGCUAAAUAUUGGCGAGAGACCGAUAGCGAACAAGUACCGUGAGGGAAAGAUGAAAAGCACUUUGGAAAGAGAGUGAAACAGUACGUGAAAUUGUUGAAAGGGAAACGCUUGAAGUCAGUCGCGUCGACCGAGACUCAGCCUUGCCUCGGCUUGGUGUACUUCUCGGCUGAUGGGUCAGCAUCGAUUUCGACCCUUGGAUAAUGGUGGGGGAAAGGUGGCACCUUUACGGGUGUGUUAUAGUCCUCUAUCGGAUGUGGGGGUUGGGAUCGAGGAACUCAGCAUGCGCCUUUCGGUGUCGGGGCCUUGGCCCACGUCUACAUGCUUAGGAUGCUGGCAUAAUGGCUUUAAACGACCCGUCUUGAAACACGGACCAAGGAGUCUAACAUACCCGCGAGUGUUCGGGUGGAAAACCCGUGCGCGCAAUGAAAGUAAAAGUUGGGACCUCUGUCGUGGAGGGCACCGACGCCUGGACCAGACCUUCUGUGACGGCUCUACGGUAGAGCGUGUAUGUUGGGACCCGAAAGAUGGUGAACUAUGCCUGAAUAGGGUGAAGCCAGAGGAAACUCUGGUGGAGGCUCGUAGCGAUUCUGACGUGCAAAUCGAUCGUCAAAUUUGGGUAUAGGGGCGAAAGACUAAUCGAACCAU